UACAAGCUAAGCUGGAGAAAAUGCUAGUUGUUUCAUCUCCCGAGGCACCCGAGUUACCUUUGUGUUAUGGGAGGGCAGAUUUUCAGUUGAAUUGAAGUGCAAUAGUGGAACUAGCAAUAAUAAUAAUUCUUGCUUUUGUAUUGUUUCAGUAAGUGGUGCGAAGGACCUGUUCCUUGGUGCCCUCUCCAGUGCUUUCAGGGUGAGUUAGAUGGAUCUGACAUUCACAGCUUGUUAAUCACCAGAACCCCAGUUCCAUUUGGGAAGCCAGCCACCAAUGCACACUCUGACUGCCAUUUUGUCCUCUGACCUGAAAAAGCCGGUGUAAAAGAAAAUAAGCUGCCUCUGCUUGCCUCCUGCUUUCCUGUGGUCUCAAUGACAGAAACCUGCUCCUUCAGUGGCAUAAGGCUACGGAAAUCUGGCGUCAAUACGGCUUCAUUACUGUGACUUCUCCUUCCUGCAAUUGUUUUUCCAUGGAUUCCUGUGCAAGGCAGGACAGAAAGCCAGCCAGCCUGCUGUUUUUUCCCUUGUACAAUUAUCCUAGCAAGGCACUGGCCCUGCUGACUACCAGAUUGUCCCUCCUCCAGCCUGAAAGAAGAUCCUGCUGGGAGAUUUCAAGCAGGUGGGCAUGCAGGUACAGCCUGGGCACAGCCUGUGUGGGCACAGCCUGGCCACCCCUCUGGCUGCAGCCACUUCUCAGUGGAAAAUCCCAGCUCCUGCCAAACUCCACUGGAGAAAGCCCUGGGUGCUGCCUGCCCCACUCACCUUCUCAUGCCCCCAAGGAGCUCUGAUGACCAUCCCGGCUUUCCAGGCAGCCACGCUGCCAUUUAACUGCAGGCUCCUGCCAGGAGCAAUUCCCAGCUGACAGCUGAUUUUUUUUUUUUUUUUUAGUGAUUUUUUUAACUGCAGUUUUUCUUUUUUAAGUUUUGUGUUCCUGAUCUGCAUAGGCUUGGGACUGGUUAAGUUCAUCAUCCUGCACUGUGGUGACAUAUUUUCUGGUGAGAGAUAGGAACAGAGUCAACUAAAUCCCUGUAAAAGCUGUGGAGAACAGACCUGCUGUCCAAAGGCACCAGCCCAGUGACAGGCAGUGGAUUUUGCUUAUCUGUUGUACGGGGACAUGGAGCUGCAUUGUUUGCUUUUGUUUUGUGCAGUGUUAAGGAAAGGUUCAGAGGUUUAAACAGGCCUUAGCUUUACAACACUAUUUAGUGUCAGGAAAUGAGCCAGCAGGACACUGCUUUACCCCUCAAACUUGGUGAUUUUCACUGUUGCUUUCACCCAGUCCCUGCAAAUUACUGCCAGUGGAAGAUCCCCGCCCGAGGUAAUGUCAACUGUCCUGCACACAAAGAGCUCUGUUUGUCUUUCCUCUCUGCAUUAUGUCAUCCUAAAAUAGUAAAUAUUGAGUUCUCUGGAGGAAGACGCUUGUUGCAACAGCAAGGCCUUAAUUCUCAUGCUCAGAGGUAUGAGCAAUGUUAAAAAUUACCUUCCCCCAGGCCUUGCUGAUGCACCCACCCCACAGGACGUUUUCUAGGUCUAGGUCUGAGCCUGGAGGCAGGAGCCAGUCAUUAUCUAACAGGGCCUGGGAGAUGGCACUGUUUUGACAUACAGUAAUGGAUCUUAAAUUACUUGCAGAACUGCAGAGAACAUGUGUCUUUUAAUUUACCCAGUCUCUGGAAUAAUUUCCACAUUCCUUCUGGGGUGGAAACAUGCCGCAGCUCCUCCUCUUCUGGCCUGACAAGCCUGGACUGUAAUUUGGGACAACAAUAAGCACGGAGGUGGGGGUUUCCUUUCUGGGGGAAUUGCCUGUGCACUAACCAGGCCUGCUAGCUUUUUAGAAUCAAGUACCACUCUCUUAUUUUGGGAUGGUUUAAAUAGGAAGAAACCCCAACAACCCAAGGAGCAGAGUUAGUGGCUGACAGAGGUAACGCCCAGCUGCCAAGUUCAGCAUGAGGCACUGGUGAAGUGCCUGAGCUGUGACUACCCCAGCCCAGCAUUUGCUCUCCUGCCCUCCCUCAGUGAUUUGUGGAGGCCUGUAUUUUUUUAAAUAUGUGAAACUCACGUCCUGUGUUUAGUUAAAGCUCACGGCGUGUUCUAGCCAGACCAUUGCUUAAAAAGGGGAAAAUAUGCAAACUGCUGCUAUCACUGGAUGGACUCCCGGCAAGCUGCGUUUUUAAGCUCAAUUUUCAGCUCAUCCCUGAAUGGGCCAAAUCCGCCCUGCAGAGCGAAGCAGGGCACGAGGAGACAGGGAGCUGCAGCCCUGCCCCUCUCCUGCGUCCCAGGGCAGAUGCAGUGGCAGUUUUUAGGGACAUUUCUACUGCAGUUUUGCAAAAUGGACUCUUUCCUCAAGUUUGCCAAGAGUUUGGAAAAACACAAGGGCCCUUCAAGUUUACUUAAAAAAACCCCCAAAACACACAAUGGAGCAAACCUUUCCCCACAUAUGCUAGUUAGUAAAAUAUGGCUCUUUCCCCUUGUUUGCAGAGAAUAAAAGGUGGCAGUUUUCUCAGGCAUGCUAAGAGUUAGCAAAACAAGGUCUCUUUCCUCAGGUUCACUAAGAGUUAAAAGACACCUUUAUCUCUAAGAUUGCAGGAGUUAAGGAGGGCUCUUUCCCAACGUUUGCUAAAAGUUUCAAAAAAAAAAAAAAAGAAGGGCUUUUCCCUCAAGUUUGCAAGAGUAAAAAAGAAAGACAGCUCUUUUCCUAAGUUUCCUAAAAGUUAGAAAACAUGUUUUCCCCACGUCCACCGAGAGGAAAAGUGGGCGUUACUCCUGAAUUUGCUAGAAGUAAAAGAGGGCACUUUCCUCAAGCUUAAGAGUUAGCAAAAGACUACUCUUUCCCCAAGUUUGCUAAGGUGAAAAGGUUUUUCUUCCACAUUUGCCAAGUUAACAAAGAGAUAUUUCUGGUUUCCAAGUUUGCUAAGAGUUAGUAACCAGCGAGCUCUUUUCCCGAGUUCGCGAGGAGUUAGCAGCAAGGGUGCUGUUCCCUCGGGGUCGGGAGCAGGCUCGGGUGGCCGGGAGAGGGUGGUGCGCAGGGCUCUCACCUGGAA